GGGAGCCUCUUUAUGGGGUGACUGCGUACCUUUUGUAUAAUGGGUCAGCGACUUAUAUUCUGUAGCAAGGUUAACCGAAUAGGGGAGCCGAAGGGAAACCGAGUCUUAACUGGGCGUUAAGUUGCAGGGUAUAGACCCGAAACCCGGUGAUCUAGCCAUGGGCAGGUUGAAGGUUGGGUAACACUAACUGGAGGACCGAACCGACUAAUGUUGAAAAAUUAGCGGAUGACUUGUGGCUGGGGGUGAAAGGCCAAUCAAACCGGGAGAUAGCUGGUUCUCCCCGAAAGCUAUUUAGGUAGCGCCUCGUGAAUUCAUCUCCGGGGGUAGAGCACUGUUUCGGCAAGGGGGUCAUCCCGACUUACCAACCCGAUGCAAACUGCGAAUACCGGAGAAUGUUAUCACGGGAGACACACGGCGGGUGCUAACGUCCGUCGUGAAGAGGGAAACAACCCAGACCGCCAGCUAAGGUCCCAAAGUCAUGGUUAAGUGGGAAACGAUGUGGGAAGGCCCAGACAGCCAGGAUGUUGGCUUAGAAGCAGCCAUCAUUUAAAGAAAGCGUAAUAGCUCACUGGUCGAGUCGGCCUGCGCGGAAGAUGUAACGGGGCUAAACCAUGCACCGAAGCUGCGGCAGCGACGCUUAUGCGUUGUUGGGUAGGGGAGCGUUCUGUAAGCCUGCGAAGGUGUACUGUGAGG
rnacentral:rRNA from 1 species